UGGGGAAUUUUGGACAAUGGGGGCAACCCUGAUCCAGCAAUGCCGCGUGUGUGAAGAAGGCCUUCGGGUUGUAAAGCACUUUUGUCCGGGAAGAAAUCCCCUGCCCUAAUACGGCGGGGGGAUGACGGUACCGGAAGAAUAAGCACCGGCUAACUACGUGCCAGCAGCCGCGGUAAUACGUAGGGUGCGAGCGUUAAUCGGAAUUACUGGGCGUAAAGCGUGCGCAGGCGGUGAUGUAAGACCGAUGUGAAAUCCCCGGGCUCAACCUGGGAACUGCAUUGGUGACUGCAUUGCUCGAGUAUGGCAGAGGGGGGUGGAAUUCCACGUGUAGCAGUGAAAUGCGUAGAGAUGUGGAGGAACACCGAUGGCGAAGGCAGCCCCCUGGGCCAAUACUGACGCUCAUGCACGAAAGCGUGGGGAGCAAACAGGAUUAGAUACCCUGGUAGUCCACGCCCUAAACGAUGUCAACUGGUUGUCGGGCCUUCAUUGGCUUGGUAACGUAGCUAACGCGUGAAGUUGACCGCCUGGGGAGUACGGUCGCAAGAUUAAAACUUAAAGGAAUUGACGGGGUCAUAGCUGUUUCCU
rnacentral:rRNA from 1 species